CUUGGGUGGCGCGACAGAUUGAUUGUGUGUGCGCUGUGCUGCAGAAGAUGUGUUGUUUUCUGCGUGUGUAGUUUAUAAAGUAUUUAACUCAAUCAUCGGUGUGACAGUUCCAGGUCGUGGUUGUUUUCGUUUGGGAUCGCGGCAGUUAUGGAUCGCAUGGAUUAGUAGCAACAUUGUUGCGAAGCUUUAACAUACAAACCAACGGAAGGUCAGACAGUACACCGGCACGCCCGAAGACCACAGCUAAGAUCUCUCUUGUUCUCUUUCUCUUCCCUCUAUCGUUCCAGUGCUUUACCCUGCAACAGACUCUAUUUUUCAAAUGCACUUCCCAUUGAAGUUCAUUAGAGGUGGACUAUUAUUGCCAUGCCAGAAGUAUUUGGGUGGACAUUUUAGUUAAAAGGGAGGUUGCUUGCAAGUUGUGUAUUAUGUGAACUGUAUUGAGGUGAGGUGUACUAAUGACAUGUGGCCGAGAAGAUUUUGGACAUUUUUAAGGCCUUUGGUGUCUAUGAACACCCCCCACAUUCAUACCCUCUACACUCAUUCACUGGAAGAUAAUACAGAGUAUUGCAAAUCCUCUGAUGACUGGGUUCUUUCUUGUAUGAAGUUGCUGUUAAAUUGCUCUGCCAUUAUUAGUAUUAGUAUUAUUGUAUGAGGUAUUCUUGUUGGGGUUACCCCUGUGCUGUGAUGUGGGUUUUAUAUGGUGUGUGUUCUCUUUUCUCUCCACUGGCUAUCUGGUAAACAGGCUACACUCUAGGCAGUCUCUUCUGCUGAUGUGUGUGGGUCUGGUAGUGGUUCUCUCUAUUCUACUCUUUUCCUUUCGGCAUGGUUAAUACCUGCUUGGCGCCCGAACAAAAUUUUUCGUUACCCCUCUCUAAUAAAUACCGCUACAACUGGACUCCUGUUUAACAUGGGUGCCGGAGCUCAACACUCCAACCUGGUAAUCGUCCUGCUCAUGCCUACAGAUGGCACAGAUUUCAACACCACAAAUGGCUCCGUGUUGAUUUGACCCCUGACCUAGUUGUGGACGGUGAGUGGGCCGUCCUGACCUGUGGCUCCUGCUUCAUGAGCGAGAAUCCCACCUACAACUGGUAUAGGGACACAACCUUUGACCUAUACCAACAAGGUCAAGGUUAUGGCCAACUACAUGGAACUAGACCCGGUAGGCAGGGAGGAUUCAGACAGCUAUUCCUGUGUGGUGAGCGGCAGAGAGGAUUCCCCUGGUCCGGCAGUGAUCAGCAAUGAGGACAGCGGGCAGUACUUCUGUAAGGCUGAGAAUCAAUACGGACCACUUGACUCUGCACCUGUGCAUCUCAGUAUAGCAGACCAACCUACAAUCCCCAGUCUACCAUCACAGCGCAGGGUGGAAGCAUUGUAAUUGCCUCAGAUCAACUCCACAGUAGGAAGUGACAUCAACAUGUCGUCUCAGAACAAAGAGGGAGGGGUUGUCAGGUUCUCAGGUUUUAACCGCCCUUCCUCCGCAGUCACAUCCUCACCAUAUUUCACACUACACGGUCAAUUUAUCAUAGAAGGUAAGAAUUUCCCUUAAUUACAAUAGAUUCGUUUUGGUGUAAUAUUUGGAGUAAAUCUUUGUUGAACCUAUAUCUGUGUACUUGACAAUUUAUCAAACUGGGAUGGCUUUGAAAUACUUUGAAGCUUCAAAGAGAUUUAGGAAAUAUGUUAUACUCUAAAAUAGUGUAUGAACAUAACUAGUGCUUUGUCACAUUUGGCAUUUCACCCUACAGUGGAAAUUGUCACCCUUUAUACACCAUUUAUAAAGUAUGAAAUAUGCUUAGAUUUGUGAAGCAUUUAUGGAGUGCUUAUGAAGGCUUUAUUAUGUACACUAUAUAAAGCCUUAAAGUUGUACUUUGUUUAAAGUGAGACCAAAAUAUGUUCUCAUGAGUUCACUCAUGUUCCAUAGAUUGAGACGUGAGAGAAAGAAAUGUGGUGCAUUUGCUUCAAAGGGAGGAGAGAAGAUGGGGACACUACCACUUUCUCCAAAGAGAGUUUGUCUUGUGGAAGAAAAAAGGGAGACACUGAAGGGAGGAUAGCAGAGGACAACCGUCUCAUUGGUGGAGAAAUGCCCUGUCAAAAACCAACCUACAAUCCCCAGUCUACCAUCACAGUGCAGGGUGGAAGCAUUGUAAUUGCCCCAGAGAUCAACUCCACAGUAGGAGGUGACAUCAAUAUCAACAUUGGAACAAAGUAAGUGUCCAUGUGACCUGUCCCCAGUGUGAAGAGAUCCAGAACACAUCGGGGAACACUCCCAUCCAGCUGUUAAUAAAUCAUUGACAAUAAUUCUCUAAUUCGUUUCAUGUUGUUACAUCAAGGAGAGAACAAACAUUCAAUAAAAUUCACAAGUUGAUUUAAAA